UUGGACGCUGGCGGCAGGCCUAACACAUGCAAGUCGAGCGGAUGACGGGAGCUUGCUCCUUGAUUCAGCGGCGGACGGGUGAGUAAUGCCUAGGAAUCUGCCUGGUAGUGGGGGACAACGUUUCGAAAGGAACGCUAAUACCGCAUACGUCCUACGGGAGAAAGCAGGGGACCUUCGGGCCGUGCGCUAUCAGCUGAGCCUAGGUCGGAUUAGCUAGUUGGUGGGGUAAUUGCUCACCAAGGCGACGAUCCGUAACUGGUCUGAGAGGAUGAUCAGUCUCACUGGAACUGAGACACGGUCCAGACUCCUACGGGAGGCAGCAGUGGGGAAUAUUGGACAAUGGGCGAAAGCCUGAUCCAGCCAUGCCGCGUGUGUGAAGAAGGUCUUCGGAUUGUAAAGCACUUUAAGUUGGGAGGAAGGGCAGUAAGUUAAUACCUUGCUGUUUUGACGUUACCGGCAGAAUAAGCACCGGCUAACUCUGUGCCAGCCGCCGCAGUAAAAC
rnacentral:rRNA from 1 species